CGGCCCCCUGUCGCUGGA
rnacentral:misc_RNA from 1 species